GGCCCAACCACCUUCCUACUUAAAUCCAGAUUUCCUUCAAACAAUAAGGGCAAAUGGACCUUUUGAAGAGCAUCUGCAGGAGUCAGUCACCUAUAGCUGCCACAGAUGGAAGAAGUGAGGUUAAGCCUCAGAGACCGAAGUGAAAAGGCCUGUCCUCUGAUUUAUGACCUUCUGCUGCCAUCGGAUCUUCUCCUGCACCCGGACGCUUUUUGUGAAGCACCGAAACAGACCCUCUCAGAAACCCCCAAGAGUUUUAGGUUU